GCCUGGAUGGCUCAGUCAGUGGAGCAUAAGACUCUGGAUCUCUGGGUUGUGAGUUCAAGUUCCACACUGGGCA
rnacentral:tRNA from 1 species